rnacentral:lncRNA from 1 species
CCCUUGAAGGGGCCAGCCUGGAUGGAGGGAGAUGGGGAAUGUUUCAAGGUUCUCAUUAGGAGCUCAGGUUGCUGCUAUAACAUCUCCCUCUCGUCUCUACUUCUUACUCCUCCUUAGGAACAGGGAAUGAAGGACAGCUUUGCCCCCAGGCCACUGGACCAAUGACCACCUGAUGCCCUAGGGAACGUAAGGGAGUGGGAGAGAACCCCACCUGGCCCCUCCAGCUGGUAGACAAAAUGGAGGCCUCCAGUUCCUGCCAAUGUUCCAUCUGGGGAAGGUCAUGCAGACCCUGCACUCACAAUCAACUGGGCAGAAGCGAACCCUUGGGGAGGGCAGGGCAUGCAGCUGCGUGGGCGCCAUCUGCACGUGUCUGCCAACUGUUCCAAGCAAUGUUUUAUCUUUGCAGUGUCACCAACCACCUGAUUUCUCCCAGGCCUUUGUUAGGAGGAAUCACUACGUAUUUUCAUGGUUAAUUUUUU